UACGUAGGGGGCAAGCGUUGUCCGGAAUCAUUGGGCGUAAAGAGCGUGUAGGCGGCUCGAUAAGUCGGCUGGGAAAGUCCAGGGCUCAACCCUGGGAUGCCGGUGGAUACUGUCGGACUAGAGUACGGAAGAGGCGAGUGGAAUUCCCGGUGUAGCGGUGAAAUGCGCAGAUAUCGGGAGGAACACCUAUUGCGAAGGCAGCUCGCUGGGACGUCACUGACGCUGAGACGCGAAAGCGUGGGGAGCGAACAGG
rnacentral:rRNA from 1 species